rnacentral:rRNA from 1 species
ACGAACGCUGGCGGCGUGGAUAAGACAUGCAAGUCGAACGCUGAUUUGUCGGUAGCAAUAUUGGCAAGUCGGAGUGGCGCAAGGGUGCGUAACACGUGGAUCAUCUGCCGUGAAGUCCGGAAUAACUUGCUGAAAGGCGAGCUAAUGCCGGAUGUGAACGCAAGUUUAAAGUUGGGGACCGCAAGGCCUGACGCUUCACGAUGAGUCCGCGGCCUAUCAGCUAGUUGGUGGGGGUAAUGGCUCACCAAGGCUAAGACGGGUAGCUGGUCUGAGAGGACGACCAGCCACACUGGAACUGAGACACGGUCCAGACACCUACGGGUGGCAGCAGUCGAGAAUUUUUCUCAAUGGGCGAAAGCCUGAAGGAGCGACGCCGCGUGGGGGAUAAAUGGCUUCGGCCCGUAAACCCCUGUCAUUUGCGAACAAAUUGGUUCAAUUAACACCUGAACCACUGAUAGUAGCGGAAGAGGAAGGGACGGCUAACUCUGUGCCAGCAGCCGCGGUAAUACAGAGGUCCCAAGCGUUGUUCGGAUUCACUGGGCGUAAAGGGUGCGUAGGUGGUCGGGUAAGUCUGAUGUGAAAUCUCGCAGCUCAACUGCGAAACUGCAUUGGAUACUAUUCGGCUUGAGGAGUGGAGGGGAGACUGGAAUACUUGGUGUAGCAGUGAAAUGCGUAGAUAUCAAGUGGAACACCGGUGGCGAAGGCGAGUCUCUGGACAUUUCCUGACGCUGAGGCACGAAAGCCAGGGGAGCAAACGGGAUUAGAUACCCCGGUAGUCCUGGCCCUAAACGGUGCGCAUUUGCUGUGAGUGGAAUCGACCCUGCUCGUGGCGUAGCUAACGCGUUAAAUGCGCCGCCUGGGAAGUACGGCCGCAAGGUUAAAACUCAAAGAAAUUGACGGGGGCCUGCACAAGCGGUGGAGUAUGUGGCUCAAUUCGAUGCAACGCGAAGAACCUUACCUGGCCUUGACAUGCAAGUAGUAGAAGGACGAAAGUUUAACGAUCCCGCAAGGGAAGCUUGCACAGGUGCUGCAUGGCUGUCGUCAGCUCGUGUCGUGAGAUGUUGGGUUAAGUCCCGCAACGAGCGCAACCCCUUGUGUACAGUUGCCACCGGCGCUAAGCCGAGCACUCUGGACAGACUGCCUCGCUUCAACGAGGAGGAAGGUGGGGAUGACGUCAAGUCAGGAUGGCCCUUACGGCCAGGGCUGCACACGUACUACAAUGCCCGGCACAAAGGGAUGCAAAAGCGUAAGCUAGAGCAAAUCCCCUAAAACCGGGCCCAGUUCAGAUUGUCGUCUGCAACUCGACGGCAUGAAGCUGGAAUCGCUAGUAAUGGCGCAUCAGCUACGGCGCCGUGAAUACGUUCCCAGGCCUUGUACACACCGCCCGUCACAUCAUGAAAGCCGGUUGCACCCGAAGUCGCCCAUAAAAAGGUGCCGAAGGUAUGACUGGUGAUUGGGAUG